UAGACAGGUCACUGCCAGAUUGAAAUGUCUUACACGUUGUCUAGAUAAGGCAAGCAGCUGAUUGAAGAAGGCAUUCCCCAAUAUUGAGGUUCUGAAAUACCCUGUUGAUCAGAAAAUUUAUGGUUCUCCAGUCAUAGCACCAGAAAUAACAGCCAGGGUUCCCCACGCCCAAGAAACCUUCCACUGCCUGUCCUAUGACAAUUUUAGAAGACCUCAACAUUUCAAAGAACUUGAAAUAUAAGCAACCCCUAUUACAUGAUGUGUGCCAAAUAGCCUGAAGAAGUAGCUACUGACACUGGGAACCAAACCCUGGCAUUAAAAAAUGUUACUAACAAGCUACUCUUUUGGCUCCUAAACAAGAAUUGAAUUCAUAAGAUUCCCCAAAUACCCGUA